rnacentral:rRNA from 1 species
AUCCAGAGAAUUUAGCAGAGAUGCUUUAGUGCCUUCGGGAACUCUGAGACAGGUGCUGCAUGGCUGUCGUCAGCUCGUGUUGUGAAAUGUUGGGUUAAGUCCCGNAACGAGCGCAACCCUUUAUCCUUUGUUGCCAGCACGUAAUGGUGGGAACUCAAAGGAGACUGCCGGUGAUAAACCGGAGGAAGGUGGGGAUGACGUCAAGUCAUCAUGGCCCUUACGAGUAGGGCUACACACGUGCUACAAUGGCGCAUACAAAGAGAAGCGACCUCGCGAGAGCAAGCGGACCUCAUAAAGUGCGUCGUAGUCCGGAUUGGAGUCUGCAACUCGACUCCAUGAAGUCGGAAUCGCUAGUAAUCGUAAAUCAGAAUGUUACGGUGAAUACGUUCCCGGGCCUUGUACACACCGCCCGUCACACCAUGGGAGUGGGUUGCAAAAGAAGUAGAUAGCUUAACCUUCGGGAGGGCGUUUACCACUUUGUGAUUCAUGACUGGGGUGAAGUCGUAACAAGGUAAGCGUAGUGCU